CUUACGGAAGACAUUCAAUGUCAGUGUUCACUCAGGUCUGUCUCCAGCAGAAAUAGCAGGGAUUGUUGUUGGUGUUGUUGCUCUGCUGGUGGUUGUAGCUGCUGUUGCUGUGAUUUGCUACAAGAAAAAAAGACAAGUUUUAUGAGCUUCUGUGACAGAUGAGGACUGACUGUGAUUCCUGGAGAAAUAGAAAGCUAGAGGACACUUCCAGCAGCUUCAUUACGAACCGUUACUCAUAACAUUCUAUAACAUUGUCAUUAUUCACAAUAAAUGUCAUAUUUCUCCUCAUUUAAAAUCAUAUGUGUGCAGGUCAAUUGAAUUGACAUUUCACUUUUCAUAAAUAUUAAUCAUUCCAUAUUAAUGCGUACUGGAUAAACUACUUUCUAUUAUAUUCGUUCAUCAUUAGCCAUGUAUUUUAUGAGACUGUAUUUCUCUUUGAGGUGUGUUUUUCAUAUAACAUAAGCAUGUUUAAUCUUAAGAGUGUCGUGUGACACUUUCUUCAGUACUAGAAAUGUCUGGAAACAUGCGAGUUUGUGUUUAAUUCAAGAUCUGUCCAGUUGAUUGUUAAUCUCUGUGAAAAGUUUGCUGUGACGCUUUUACUGCAAGGCACGUUUGUUAACUUUUAUAUUAUUUUUCCUUUCUAUUUGCUUAUAUUAGGAACUGUGCCUUAUUUUUAUGCAAUUUGUAAUUGCACUGACAUUAUAUCUGUCUAUAUUAUUUUAGUAUCUGAGGUGAAUCUGCUCAUCUGUUUCUCUGAUUAAUGUAAAUAUAAUCAAUCUGGUACUGGUGAUGAUUUAUUACAGUUGUAUGAGCUUAUUUAAUUGAUUUCUGAUUGUGUUCUGGUUUAUUUUAUUUCUCGCUUCAGCUUGAAUUAUUUGUAUUUAUCGUUUUGAGCCUGAUGCAAAACAAAUAAAACCAAAUGAAUGUCCAGCGGCUUCCCAGAUUCUCUUCUCUCUCACAAUUGUGCUAAAGUCUGAAGUCAAAGCACUUAAACCACUGAUAAUUCAUACACAGAAAUAUUCAUGAAAAAUCCGCAGUUUUAAAAUGUUAAAUCCAGGGACAUGAAAAAUGAUGGAAUUAAAACUUUUAAUGUUUCAUUUUAUAUUAUGAUGUUAUUAUCUAAUAGUUUUGCUCUGCUUUGCUGAUCAGUUAAGCUCAUCUC